UNCCACGUGUAGCAGUGAAAUGCGUAGAGAUGUGGAGGAAUACCGAUGGCGAAGGCAGCCUCCUGGGAUAACACUGACGUUCAUGCCCGAAAGCGUGGGUAGCAAACAGGAUUAGAUACCCUGGUAGUNCACGCCCUAAACGAUGUCGAUUAGCUGUUGGGCAGCAUGACUGCUUAGUAGCGAAGCUAACGCGUGAAAUCGACCGCCUGGGGAGUACGGUCGCAAGAUUACAACUCAAAGGAAUUGACGGGGACCCGCACAAGCGGUGGAUGAUGUGGAUUAAUUCGAUGCAACGCGAAGAACCUUACCUGGUCUUGACAUGUACGGAACCCUCCAGAGACGGAGGGGUGCCUUCGGGAGCCGUAACACAGGUGCUGCAUGGCUGUCGUCAGCUCGUGUCGUGAGAUGUUGGGUUAAGUCCCGCAACGAGCGCAACCCUUGUCAUUAGUUGCCAUCAUUAAGUUGGGCACUCUAAUGAGACUGCCGGUGACAAGCCGGAGGAAGGUGGGGAUGACGUCAAGUCCUCAUGGCCCUUAUGACCAGGGCUUCACACGUCAUACAAUGGUCGGUACAGAGGGUAGCCAAGCCGCGAGGUGGAGCCAAUCUCACAAAACCGAUCGUAGUCCGGAUUGCACUCUGCAACUCGAGUGCAUGAAGUCGGAAUCGCUAGUAAUCGCAGGUCAGCAUACUGCGGUGAAUACGUUCCCGGGUCUUGUACACACCGCCCGUCACACCAUGGGAGUGGGGGAUACCAGAAGUAGGUAGGGUAACCGCAAGGAGCCCG
rnacentral:rRNA from 1 species